UACGUAGGUGGCAAGCGUUGUCCGGAAUUACUGGGCGUAAAGGGCGUGUAGGCGGCCUUUUAAGUCAGACGUGAAAACCCUGGGCUUAACCCAGGACCUGCGUUUGAUACUGAAGGGCUUGAGGACCGGAGAGGACAGUGGAAUUCCCAGUGUAGCGGUGAAAUGCAUAGAUAUGUCACAGAACACCAAUUGCGAAGGCAGCUUACUAAAGUAUGAUUGACGCUGAGGCACGAAAGCGUGGGGAUCAAACAGG
rnacentral:rRNA from 1 species